AAACAGUUCCUGAUCACAGAUUAACAGCUGAGCUGUGGUGUUGACUGUCAUAACACAGGAAAGCUAAAGGACAUUGACAUCAAUAUAGGCAUGGAGUGUCAUGUAGGAGAGCGUCUAGUCCCAUCACUUGCUUUCUGCAUUACUUUUGGCAUGGAGUCUUGUCUUUCCGUCUAUAUUGUCUCCUAAUGCAACACAGAGAUGAAGCUCAAGGAUGCAGGAAGGUCAUAAAGGUUGGUGUGGCUCUGGCAGCCUCUCCUUGAGGAAUGUGCAUAGAGGACAGCCACAUUCAUCUGUCAAGAGAAUGUGAUUCUGGAAGAGCUGAAGAUACUAAACUACUGCAGCACCAGGUUAUGGUUCCAGACCUGAGAAGACACAU